rnacentral:lncRNA from 1 species
UUCUUUACAAAAUAGACAAUUUCACUAAAAUAUUAAGGACAAAAAUAGAUAAAAAUUAGAACACGUGUAUUCCAAUAUCACAUUAAAAAAAUUAUUGAAUCCUCAUCUCUAACUUCCCAUGCAUAUAUCAUGGACGGGACCCCAAAACGCAGAAGGAAACUUGAGGGUGAUUUCAAAAUGGAAUUAGCGUGUACUCCUUUCUAAUUCUGUCGUCCGGAAAAAAAACUGGGAAAAAAGAUUCAAUUUUGCUAGCCAUAAGUCAAAGCAUGGUGAAAGGCGGCGCCGGCGUCAGCGAAAGUUUUAGAGAGUUGUUGGGUGUGGCGGAUACGGAGGCGGAGGGCAUCGGAGAGUCAUCAUGGAGAUUGAAUAUAAACGAGUUCCGGUUGCCCGAACGCAACUCUGAUAACCGCCACAAGUUCAGUUUCGGACGCCUCCUCCGCAGUCCGAGUACGUAUAUAUUUUUACCCAACGCCACCGAGGAACUCCAUAUUUCUCUCUCUCUUCUAGCCACAUAUGCAAUUUUGAAUUUUGUUUUGAGUAACUGCUUGAUAUUGAUAACUAAAAGUAGUUUUAUUUUCUGUUGAGGCAUUUUCCGAAUUAGGCCGGAUUAUUUUCUUAACUGAAUGGAAUUUCUAUAUUGUCCGCGUUAAAAUCUUCGCCAUAGUUAGCACUUAGCCAUCGAAUAUUUGUACUGAAUAUCAUAAUAUAAAUUUAAAAGAAAAAAAUCAGAACCGAUUCUCAGGAGUUUCUUUUGUUUUCCUUUGGGUUCAGAUCACAUAUGAGAACUUUGAAGAGUCGUCUUUACCAUAUGAAGGAAUUUGAUUUUUUUAUUUUUAUUUUUCAAUUUUCUUUUUCUUUUGGGAUGAUUUAUUAAUUUGAUCCCACAAAGUUUCUCCACAU